GAAUUAAAUGUAUGUCCACACAAUUCCAAAUCUUCUCGCGGCUCUCCUAUCCUAUGAAGUUAUAAGUUGGAACAAACACUGGCCAAAAACUCAUCAGACAUGUGGCCCUACACCUUAUCAACCGAGGCUUUCAUUUUAAUACAUUUGUGUCUCCUUCCCUCUUAUUUCUUGUAUAUAUAUAUGUUUGCAAAGUA
rnacentral:lncRNA from 1 species